CGGCUGAACAUGUAGCGGAGGAGGUCGACCACCCGGUGACUGUAGCCAUAUUCGUUGUCGUACCUGUGGAGGAGGGGUCGGGAGGUUCAAGGGGGUUCCUUCCGACCACCCCUUAGUUCCCCUCCCUCUAAGUCUCCAGCUCCUUCCCCCUUACCAUGAAAUGAGCUUCACGAAAUUGUCAUUGAGCGCAAUGCCGGCCUUAGCAUCGAAGAUGGACGAGUGGGUAUCACCGAGGAAGUCCGUAGAGACGACCUGGAAGUCAGAAUUUCAAAGAUAAGUGUGUCCGGCAGAGCAAGGACCUCCAGGAGCUGAGGCCCCGACUCUUAACUCUAUCGCCCAUCCAUGCAUUCAUCUAUAAUAUUUGAUGUAGCCCUACUGUGUCCAGUCUCUGGACUGGAGGGUAUGACCAAGUGCAGGGUAUGACCAAGGCACUGUGUCAGGGUCUGGCCAAAGGGCACAGGUCACAAACACCCUCAUGCUGUACCAGUACAUCCCUUUCCUAGGAAUAAUGCAAGCGUUUGGAAUGGGCCAGCAUGGAGGGCCUCUCUGAGGGGUGGCCAUGAGCCUGGGUCUAGAUGACUAGAAAGAUCUGACCGGCUGGGGCCCUCAGCACAGUGUCUGAGGUAGAAGGAGCUGCAGGAAGGGAGGACCUGAGGGUUUUAGCCCUAGUGUCAUGAAAGGCCACAGGAGUGUUUUCAAUCCUGAAAACGGGUGAUGCAAUGUGAUUCCAUUAAAACAAAAGAUCCCAGUGACUGUGGGAAAGUGGACCUGCAGGAGUUAAUGCAGGGAGACAGCACCAAGGUGGAUGUACAGGGGUCCACCAUGACCAUGGCAUCCACUCCUCACAGAGAAGGCAUCUGGCCAUGGCCUGGCCCUGAGCAAGUAUUGAAAAAAAUGGGAGCUGUUGUCUUUUGUUCACUAAGCAUGUAUUAGUCACCUGCUGUAUGCCAGGUUGGAGCCACAAAAGUGAAAAGGCAGCCCCUAAAUCCCUGUUUUCUUGGAGUGCACACACCACUGGGGCCAACAGUGACUAUGAAAUGAAAUUUCAGGACUAAGUUGGUGGCCUAGGUGUGGAGGCUGGUGGGGCCACCACCACAGACCACAGGAGGGGAUGUGUGCAGGCCAGGGUCCAGCCUUGCCUGAGGGUUGCACAGUGUUUUAAGUGACUUCUGCACUGGUGGGCCUCUCCUCCCGAAACCAGUCUCUCCCUCUUAACUCCAUACAGUAAGCAAGGCCCGGGAAGAAGUUGGGUUUCCCUGCCAUCCUUCCUGCCCCAGCCCCUCAUCCUCAACUCACCAUCAACCCUUCCACGAUCCCAAAUCGCUCGUGGAUGACUUUGGCGAGGGGAGCCAAACAGUUGGUGGUGCAGGACGCGUUGCUGAAACAGCCAAGGUGUGCACGGACACUGUGAGCUCUGACAACCUCGCCAUGAACCCUCCUAGACCCUCAGCUCCUGCAAUAGGAAGCUGGCUGCCAAAGGCCAGGAGGGUCCCUGAAAACAGACACUGCAUUAAAGAAAAAGCUCCUGGAGGACUCCUGAAGCCUGAGGCAGCCUUGGGGCAGCAGUGGCUCAUGGUUUACAUUGGAAAGGUUUAUCAUGAGUAACCGGGUGCUUUGCUUCUGUGAUUCUUGGCCAGUGUCGGUCUGUUUCCUUUGCCAUUGAGCCUGCUCCCCUCAAUGGGGGGUUCAAUCAAUGUUUGUGGGGUUUGUUUGUUUUGAGACAGGGUCUUCCUCUGUCGCCCAGGCUGGAGUGCAGUGGUGCAAUCAGAGCUCACUGCAGCCUUGAUCUUCCUGGCUCCGGCCAUCCUCCUGCCUUGGCCUCCCGAGUAGCUGGGACUACAGGCGCACACCACCAUGCCAAGCUAAUUUUUAAAUUUUUUUGUAGAGAUGGGGUCUCACUUUUGUUGCCCAGGGUGCUUUAGAACCCCUGGGCUCAAGUGAUCCUUGACCUCCCACAGUGCUGGGAUUACAGGUGUGAGCCACCGUGCCUGGCCUCAUGGGUUUUCUUUGUUUUGUUUUGUUUUGUUUUUGAGACAGAGUCUCACUCUGUCACUCAGGCUGGAGUGCAGUGGCACGAUUUUGGCUCACUGCAACCUCCACCUUCCGGGUUCAAGCGAUUCUCCUGCCUCCGCCUCCCGAGUAGUUGGGGUUACAGGCAUGCGCUACCACACCUGGCUAGUUUUUUAUUGUUGUUGUUUUUUGUA
ensembl:lncRNA TMEM147-AS1 TMEM147 antisense RNA 1